GUAAGAAAUAGGGCUCAAUUUAAAAUUCUGGUUCUUGCUUUCAUAUCAAUACAUAAUGCUGCUCCCACCUAUCUAUCCUCCCUAAUACACAAGUAUGUCACGUCUAGGCCCUUACGCUCUGCUGAAGACUUACGUCUAUCUUCUGUCCAUACUCUCACCUCUGAUGCUCACCUUCAAGACUUCUCGAGGGCUGCACCAUUCCUGUGGAACUCACUUGCCUCCUCUGUUAGAUGUUCACCCAGUCUCCACUCCUUAAAAAAAAUCAUUAAAAACCCACUUCUUCAUAAAAGCAUAUCAAUUAAACUGUUAAUAGCUCCCGACUGAUUCCUCUCUUGCAACUGUCAUUAGUCUAAUACUAUCCUUACCUUUUGUGUCACUUUACCCCACUUCCUCUAGUAUGUAAGCUCAUUGAGCAGGGCCCGCAACCC